UACGUAGGGGGCAAGCGUUGUCCGGAAUGAUUGGGCGUAAAGGUCGCGUAGGCGGCCCGGUAAGUCUGGAGUGAAAGUCCUGCCUUCAAGGUGAAUUGCUUUGGAUACUGUCGGGCUUGAGUGCAGGAGAGGUAAGUGGAAUUCCCAGUGUGGCGGUGAAAUGCGUAGAGAUUGGGAGGAACACCAGUGGCGAAGGCGACUUACUGGACUGUAACUGACGCUGAGGCGCGAAGGUGUGGGGAGCAAACAG
rnacentral:rRNA from 1 species